CUCCCUGGGCGCAGUUCACGCUACCCUCUAGUCCGUGCAUUACCAUGCAUCUGUCAUCCUCAUGGAUACCCUCCCUAGAUGACCUAAUACUGGACUCGCCAGUAUUCUUGGACCUGUGUACCUAUGCGCCCCUGGUAAUUCCCCACGGUGCUGCCUUAUCCACGUCCUCUGUCCGGCAGAUCUGGGGCCAUUACACCAGCACUUUAUUCCACCUGGCCUGGUUGUAUUCCUCACAAUUUUCUAUCGUGACCUUUACGAUCAACUAUCCCCUUGCCCGUCAAGGGGGGACCCCCCGUAGGCCGCCUGGUUCCGCGCAUUAUCAAUUGACUCAUUCGAUUGGCUGUCCUGACGAAGCGGAAACCCCGCGAAACUAGUCGACGUUGACCAAUCAAUGAACUGUACAAUUAUUUGUUUUGCAAUUUUAAUUAAUCAAUAAACUUUUUUAUAUCAUUA